rnacentral:rRNA from 1 species
AGAUUGAACGCUGGCGGCAGGCCUAACACAUGCAAGUCGAGCGGCAGCACGGGUACUUGUACCUGGUGGCGAGCGGCGGACGGGUGAGUAAUGCCUAGGAAUCUGCCUGGUAGUGGGGGAUAACGCUCGGAAACGGACGCUAAUACCGCAUACGUCCUACGGGAGAAAGCAGGGGACCUUCGGGCCUUGCGCUAUCAGAUGAGCCUAGGUCGGAUUAGCUAGUUGGUGGGGUAAUGGCUCACCAAGGCGACGAUCCGUAACUGGUCUGAGAGGAUGAUCAGUCACACUGGAACUGAGACACGGUCCAGACUCCUACGGGAGCAGCAGUGGGAAUAUUGGACAAUGGGACGAAAGCCUGAUCCAGCCAUGCCGCGUGUGUGAAGAAGGUCUUCGGAUUGAAAGCACUUUAAGUGGAGAAGGCAAGUUACCUAAGUACGUAUCGUGUUUGACGUUACGACAGAAUAAGCACCGGUCUAACUCUGU